CUUGCUUCCUACCCCGCGCUUGAGUUUCUCCCCGCUUGGAUGCUCUCAGGGGCAGUGUGAAGAGAGACAAUUCCUGGCUUCCUUAGAGGGCCUUGUUCUCCUUGGCAGAAGCUCAAGUCCUGAUUCCCGCCCUUCCUUCUCGUUUUAGGAAUAUUGUUCUGAGAAGCCACAGAAAAGGGUAUGGGCUUAUUUUGCCAAAGAAAACACAGCAGUUGCACCCUGUUUUGCAAAAACCAUCAGUGUUUGGGAAUGAUUCUGAUGAUGAUGAUGAGUGUAUAUCCAGUACUGGUGUUUAAAGGAAAGUUAUUAAAGUUUGGAAUAAGAGUACUUGAAUUGGAAUCUUGCUUUGCCAUUCACCAGCUGUUUGUCCUUAAAUUCUCUCAGGUUUUUGGCAUUUUAAUCGUCAUCCUUAGUAGUCAUUGUUAAAGUAACUUUAUUUAGAAAAUUGAGAAUUAAAUGACCUUCAAAAGAUCAUCAGUCUUUCCUGACUUUUUGAGACCUCUGUGAGUGAAAGCCUUCAGAGGGAAGCUGCUAAAAAGCAGGCCAUG
rnacentral:sRNA from 1 species